UUAUUGGAGAGUUUGAUCCUGGCUCAGGACGAACGCUGGCGGCGUGCCUAAUACAUGCAAGUCGAGCGAAUUGAUGGGAGCUUGCUCCCAGAUAUUAGCGGCGGACGGGUGAGUAACACGUGGGUAACCUGCCUGUAAGAUUGGGAUAACUCCGGGAAACCGGAGCUAAUACCGGAUAACAUUUUGAACCGCAUGGUUCAAAAUUGAAAGAUGGUUU
rnacentral:rRNA from 1 species